GACGAGGGAUCCUAGCGUUGUUCGGAAUCAUUGGGCGUAAAGCGGAUGUAGGUGGCUUUGUAAGUCGGGUGUGAAAGCCCAGGGCUCAACCCUGGAAGUGCAUUCGAUACUGAAGAGCUCGAGUCCGGGAGAGGUGAGUGGAACUGCGAGUGUAGAGGUGAAAUUCGUAGAUAUUCGCAAGAACACCAGUGGCGAAGGCGGCUCACUGGCCCGGUACUGACGCUGAGGUGCGAAAGCGUGGGGAGCAAACAGG
rnacentral:rRNA from 1 species